rnacentral:rRNA from 2 species
GUUGACCUCGGAUCAGGUAGGAAUACCCGCUGAACUUAAGCAUAUCAAUAAGCGGAGGAAAAGAAACCAACAGGGAUUCCCCUAGUAACGGCGAGUGAAGCGGGAACAGCUCAAAUUUGAAAUCUGGCCCUUGGGUCCGAGUUGUAAUUUGCAGAGGAUGCUUUUGGUGCGGUGCCUUCCGAGUUCCCUGGAACGGGACGCCUUAGAGGGUGAGAGCCCCGUACGGUUGGACACCAAGCCUAUGUAAAGCUCCUUCGACGAGUCGAGUAGUUUGGGAAUGCUGCUCAAAAUGGGAGGUAUAUUUCUUCUAAAGCUAAAUAUUGGCCAGAGACCGAUAGCGCACAAGUAGAGUGAUCGAAAGAUGAAAAGCACUUUGAAAAGAGGGUUAAAUAGCACGUGAAAUUGUUGAAAGGGAAGGAUUUAUGACCAGACUUUUUCUAGGGGGAUCAUCCGGUGUUCUCACCGGUGCACUUCCCCUAGUUGAGGCCAGCAUCGGUUUCUGUCGGGGGAUAAAAGCUUCAGGAAUGUGGCUCCCUCCGGGGAGUGUUAUAGCCUGUUGCAUAAUACCCUGACGGGGACCGAGGUUCGCGCAUUGCAAGGAUGCUGGCGUAAUGGUUAUUAAUCACCCGUCUUGAAACACGGACCAAGGAGUCGAACAUUUGUGCGAGUGUUUGGGUGUUAAACCCUCACGCGUAAUGAAAGUGAACGGAGGUGAGAGCCUUUCGGGGUGCAUCAUCGACCGAUCCUGAUGUCUUCGGAUGGAUUUGAGUAAGAGCAUUAAUGUUCGGACCCGAAAGAUGGUGAACUAUGCGUGGAUAGGGUGAAGCCAGAGGAAACUCUGGUGGAGGCUCGCAGCGGUUCUGACGUGCAAAUCGAUCGUCAAAUCUGCGCAUGGGGGCGAAAGACUAAUCGAACCAUCUAGUAGCUG